rnacentral:rRNA from 1 species
CCUACGGGAGGCAGCAGUGGGGAAUUUUCCGCAAUGGGCGAAAGCCUGACGGAGCAACGCCGCGUGAGGGAUGAAGGCCUCUGGGCUGUAAACCUCUUUUAUCAAGGAAGAAGAUCUGACGGUACUUGAUGAAUAAGCCACGGCUAAUUCCGUGCCAGCAGCCGCGGUAAUACGGGAGUGGCAAGCGUUAUCCGGAAUUAUUGGGCGUAAAGCGUCAGCAGGCGGCCCUUCAAGUCUGCUGUUAAAAAGUGGAGCUUAACACCAUCAUGGCAGUGGAAACUGUUGGGCUUGAGUGUGGUAGGGGCAGAGGGAAUUCCCGGUGUAGCGGUGAAAUGCGUAGAUAUCGGGAAGAACACCAGUGGCGAAGGCGCUCUGCUGGGCCAUCACUGACGCUCAUGGACGAAAGCCAGGGGAGCGAAAGGGAUUAGAUACCCCUGUAGUCCUGGCCGUAAACGAUGAACACUAGGUGUCGGGGGAAUCGACCCCCUCGGUGUCGUAGCCAACGCGUUAAGUGUUCCGCCUGGGGAGUACGCACGCAAGUGUGAAACUCAAAGGAAUUGACGG